rnacentral:lncRNA from 1 species
UUAAACAAGGAUGCCUUAAGAAGGCUAGCACAAAAGCAACAACGACCGAAGAGGCAAGGCCUCCUGCCCGGGACCUCCUAAACUAACUCCUGGUCGUCGGCGAUCUUCACGUAGUAGCAUCCAUCGGUGGUGGCAUCUAGCUCCAAGGAUCCACCAUCUGGUUGCAUCAACCGGAAAGAAGAAAGAAGGGAGAAAAAGGGUAGCAAAGCAACCGUGAGUACUCAUCCAAAGCACUCGCAAGCAUCAGAUCUAUACUAAGUAUGCAUUGGUAUCAAAUGGAAGGGUUGUAUCUGUGGACUGAACUGUAGAAUGCCAGAAUAGAAGGGGGAAGGCCUAGCCUAUCAAAGACUAGCAUCUUCACGCAGCUCCAAACAUCUUGCAGCAUGUAGAAGAGUAAAUAAUAGCAGUUUAAUAUUUAACAAGCAUGUUGUAACAUUAAUGCCCAGAGAUCCUUCCUCUACUCCCUGCGAGAAAGCAAUCCCGGAGCCACAUAUCUCAAGUAUCCAUUUGUAGUUGUAUAAGAUCAGGAUAUAAGUCUGAACGUCCGUUACCGUGGACACAACUAUUAAUAGAUAAUCUUCCCUGCAAGGGUGCACCACGUUUUCCAACACGCUCGAUCACUCUGGCCGGACACACCUUUUUGGGGUCAAUGCCCGGCCUCGGAAGAUCAACACGUCGCAGCCCUACCUAGGCUCAGCAGAGAGGUCUCCGCCAGUCUACAUCCUAAGCACUCCGGGGUCUGGGCCCAUCGCCCGUUGCACUCCGGAUCGUUGCGUACAGGGCGGGUCCAGGUUCCACCUCUACAUGGAUGGUGCCGGCCCAGCCGUGCCGCACUGCUGAACUGGACGUCUGACAAAGCUUCGGCUGAUAAUGCGACGCCGAGGCCCAUAGCUAUUCUCACGUGGUGGUUGGUGCGUAAAGGCCAGAGGCCAACUCAGAACAAAUACCCAAACCAUAGUGUAUCAUUAGCUUGUGGAGACGAGCAGAGACUCACGAUCGAAAGUGACCCUGUCGUCCCGUCUCGUGGACUUAUGACAAGGGCCUAGAAUGCCCGGCCGUGCCACGUCAUUAUCUUGCGGGUGCUCUCCGGGCCCGCCCGACUUCCACCAAGGUCUCAAGUAAAGUCAAGGUAACUGUGUGUCCAGACAUCAAGGGGAAAACCCGAGGAAUCACCCCCGGUGGAUUCCACUCGAUGUAAUCAUCAAGGUGAACGUAAGAGGGACCACCCUCGAGGUUCACACUUGAGGUGUUGAACGACAGAGCCGUAUCGGGAAUGGUGAAAGAGGAAAUCACCCUCGAUGACCAUGACCGAAAUAGCUACCCUACAGAAUUAUCAUCAGGAGUGCGUUAUGAGGGAUCACCCUCGGCACUCGAUAGUAGCUCUGCAGAGUCGAGCAACUAAAGGGGCGUGAUGUGAUGUGAGGUGUUGGGCUCUUGUCGUCGAUCACGUCGAUCGAGGUGUCGAUGAUGAAACAGGGGCAACAAGGACAAAGUGGGGUCACUGAUGAAUCACUAACCAACCUAUACUAAGCAGUUUAGGAUAAGCAGGUAGGUAACAAUAGCAGGUACAAAAGCAGGCUAUGCAUCAGAAUGGGAGCAAACAAUAACAGUAGCAAAAUCUAAUGCAAGCAUAAGAGUAUAGAAUGAGCGAUAUCGGGAUGAUCAAAGGGGGGGCUUGCCUGGUUGCUCAGACAAGAAGGAGGGUCGUCCGUGACGUGGUCGAUCACAGUGGCAUCAACAGCGGUCUCGGGGUCUAUCGGAGAGAAGAGGGGGAAGAAACAGUAAAUACACAUAAACAUAUGCAUAACAAGACAAUAAGUGGGGCUAGAGGUGUUCUAACGCAGUGCUAGUCGAUACUGGCGAAGGGGGAAACAUCCGGGAAAGUUUUCCCGGUCCCGGACGUUUGUGAGACAGAUGAACCAGAGGGGAAAGUUUGCAUGUUCGCUAUGCUAGGGAUGUGUCGCCGACGAACGGACCGCGUACUCGGAUUUGUCUCGUCGUUCUGAGCAACUUUCAUGUACAAAGUUUUUCUAUCCGAGUUAUAGAUUAUUUUAUAUUAAUUUUCAAAGAUUUAUUGUUUUAUGAAAUUUCCUGGAAUUAAUAAUAAUUCGAGUUGACCAAGUCAAUUUGGCUGGUUAAAAGGGGAGGGUGUGGCCCACAUGCCAUAGACUUUUUACCUAAACAAAUAAAUAAACCUAACUUAUUUAAAAGGGGCCCUCCAUAUCAUCUACUACUAGACUAACUUAGCACUAAAUAAUACUAACUAAACCUAGUAGUGCUAAUCUAAGCAACGGCCAGCCAUUACUGGGCAUAGCCCAACCAGCCACACACACACGCAAGGGCCGGCCAUUCAGUAAUAGCAGCAGCCAACGGUAGCAGGUAGCAGUAGCACCAACAGCAAAGCAGUAGGCGCCAUCGACAGCGACGGCAAGCGGCAAGCAGCAGGAACGGCGGCCGGUGAGCAGCAAGAAGCAGCAGCAGCGGCAAGAGUACCAGCAAAGCAGCAGCCAUAGUAGCAAAGCAAAAGCAGCAAACAGCAGUACAGAGUAGUAGCAACAGGAACUGCAGCAACGCAGCCGCAAGUAGCAGGCAGCAGCUACGAGAGCAGGGCACGACCCAAGAGGACGCGCGCGAGGACGCGGCCUGGGGCGGCCAGAGGCGCGGGAGGGCCGCGGUGGCCGGGGAUGGCCGACGCGGGGCGAGGCCCGACGAGCGGUGGACGGCGCGGCACUGUCGGGCACAGCAGGUCACGCGGCCAGCGGGGCGCCGGCGCAGGGGGCCGAGGGGGCAGCGGCCCUGGGCGGAGGCGACCGGAAAUGGGCGCUAGGGGCGGUGGCGCGCGAGCGCGGGUGAGGCUGCAGGGGAAAGGCGAGGCCGGCGGUGGAGGCGUCGGCUGCGGCGUAUGGCAGCAGCAACAGCCCACGGAAGGGACGGCCAACGGCAGUAGCAUGUACAGCAGCAACGAACAGCAGUGCGGUAGCAAGGGACGGACUACGCAUGCGCGGGCGGCGUGCGAGCAUGCGCGGGAGGAGAGCUCCGGCCACAGCGGACUGCGGAGCCGAAGCUCGCAUGUAACGGUGCUACGGCGACUACGGCGAUGAGGGAAAAGGGAAACGGAGUGGUGCUCACCGAGCAGGCGCAAGGAGGCUCGUCGAGUGGCUUAGGAGCAGCAGAGGUGGCCGGCGUCGUCAUGGCCCGUCGACGACCCGAGGAGGAAGAAGCUUUGACCCGACGCUGCAGCAUGAGGAGCUCCAACGGGUGGCACCAGUGAAUGCAGAGGAAAACGGCGAAGCGGAGGACGCGGUCCUAGGCGGUGGGGGGGCAUGGUGGCCGCGGCGGGAUGAGAUGGCCGGCGAUGCGGGCGCACGACGAGGUGGAUCUGGACGUGAGGGAGAGUGACGAGGGAGAGAGGGGGCGUGGGAAAAU